rnacentral:snoRNA from 1 species
CCCGUGCACAUUAUGUGUAGGCACGGCUUCGGAAGCCAUACCGUGUCUACCGCCCAUGUGCACCAGAUGU